UUAGGAACGAACAACUUUAUUGUAAUAAUAAUAAAUCAAACACAGCUCUUCUGGUCAGUCAGGCACGUAUGCACUGAUUUCAUGGGGAAAGCACAGCCAGCUUCAGGUGGCUUGGAGAAGCAGACAACAGUUCAUCUGAUCAAUGGCCAGGUAAUAGCAACUUAUUGCAUACCAUAAUGCUGACUUACAGCAUUACAGUGCUGUAAUGAUCACCAAACAAAAGCUGUAGCAAGAUAGCCUUGUGACUAAGUACAUAUUUAUCUCUUACAUUGUCUUUUACAUGGUAGUUCAAUUAUCUCCAAACCAAGUAUGCUAAACCUAAGAAAUAGUUUCAAAUGAUAUUCAAAUCUGUACCUAGAUAACCUUAACUCUAAUUGUGUUUGCUGUAUACCAUAUAGUAGAUAGCACAUUCAUUGCCUAUGGUUAUUACAUCCAGUAAACAUAAAACAAUGAUAAAGCCACUGCAGUAAUUUUGGUACCAGAUUAGAUAAAAUGACUCUUUGGAUAAGGUGUCCCAGCAUUUUAAUUUCAUGGGUUUGUUUCAUCCCUUUCUGGAGAAUGAAAGCAAGCUGUCCUUAGAGAAGAGUUUAAGCUAUGUUCAGAUGACAAAGAGAAGCAGUGGUCAUUUUUGCUUAAAGCACUUUGGAGUUUUAUUCCUUCUAGAAACAAUAGAAGAGAGAAGUGAUGUUGAGAGAUGGCAAGUCUUCAAGGAAUUUCCUCCAGCAGAACAUGACUUUUCACUGUUGGCAAGAAACUACAUUUGGCAAAGAAUGACACAAAAUGGAGGACGAUCAUAUUUCUUUAGCAAUGUAAUCUACAGAGACUAGUUUUUUCCAUCAUUAACAUAGGUCCAAUUUUAGGUGCUUACAGAAUCUGUUCAAAUCAAACUAGUUAAUGGAUAUAUUUGUAAACUCAGACAAUAAUCUAAUUGAAGAGUAAGAGUAGCAUUCAUCUGAGCUCACUUUAGCUAAGAGUUAGGCAUUUGGGUCAGCUGGACAUCUGGACUCCCUCACAAAGGAUAGAAAAAGCAACUCAGCAGCCAGGAGCUGAUUUACCACAUGGCAUAGGAUACUCACUCUACAGAUGUGCCCGGUGCCCGUAUGCACACCUGGUUUUUAGGCAAGUUAGAUGAAUCCCAUUCCUAUUAAUUAAGGGUGGGUAAUAAUGUUUCUAAUCCUUUGGUAGCAGCACUGGUUGAGUUUUCUCCCCUGCCCUCACAAUCCACCCUCAUCCCUGCCAUCUCCUGUCCCCAAGAAGAGUUGAUUAUUCCUUUCAUUUGCACCAGCUUAGCUAAGACAGAGCUAUAAAAUGACUUGGUCCUGAAGAAACACCAUUUUCCUAUUACUCAUCUAUUUUUCUAUGCACUUCUUGCUGAAUUUUAUCUAUUUUUUUCUUAGAUAGCUCACUUUAACAUCUCCUGGACACACCAGGCAUGGGAGCAGAGGCAGCAGCCCCCUGCACAGGGCGGGAGCAAGUGGCAGACGGGGUUAGGAUCCCCUGUUGAAGGAUCCAUAACAUGAAGCUGCACCCUCAUUCGUAAGAGGACUCUGCAGAGGAUGCAUGCCCUACCCAGCACUGUCUGGAUUAGAUCUACAGAAUCCUCUUCACGGUAACAGGAGGUGCCUCAGUCCUCUGAGUCCCUGCACUAUUCCUCUCCUUCCACUGCUCUUCACAUCUUUUACAAGGCAUAUUAUCCCUGGGCCGGAGCUGCAGACUUUCCUCCACACUCUGAGUCCCCUGUCUGGUUGAGAGCAGCAGUCCUUGCAGCAGCGUGUGGUCUUGUCAGAUAUUACAGAAGGUUUCAUCCCAAAACUCUAGGAAAAAGAGCAGAAUAACUCCUUGAUACCUCACUGGUAACUUCAACAGACUGAUUCCAGAGAUGAACUGAGUACAAAGGAAUAGGAAAAAAUUGAGCAAAGUAGCAACUAUAUAAAUAAUUUCUGUACAUAUAUUUAGAUAUACACAUAAACAUAAGGUGGAAUUCUACAACUUAAUUUAUUUUUGAGUGGCACUGGACUAGUUCACUGUGGUUGCUAUAGUAUGAAUGUCUCCUGAACAGUACCUGUGCACAGAGAAAAUUAUGUUCCUUCAUGCAUCAACAUUUUUGAGUUAAUAUUCCUCUUUAUUCCUAAGACUGUUGAUUAGACCCCUUUCAAACUCAGUAUCCACUGUCUGUGCAUUAUGUGAAUAGUGUUCAGCACAGGGCAUUGCUGAAUCUCUGUCACAAACAACCUAGGAAUAAAAAGAUCAGCAUUUCGGUUUAUUUUUCCUGCAUUUUGUUAAAAAACACGCUAGGAAUUUUGAAGAAAUCUAAUGCAUAAAUACAUAUUUUGUCUGAUUCAAUAACAUAUACAAUUCAAAUGACACUGAAUUAUGAAACCAAGGGGCUGCUGUUUUUCACCAACAUUGUAAAUAGGAGCAAUUUAUUUAUUUACCUUGACAUUAUCCAGAGGGCCAAAUCAGACAAUGUGAUGUAACAGCACUGAGCUUAGCUUCCUGCCCCACCUUCCCCACAGCAAGCACCCAGACAUAGCUGACCCCACAGACACAAAAUGCUGUUUCUUUAAUCUUAACACCGCACCUCUUCUGAGCAGGGAGGACAAGAACAGAUUGGUAUUAGUGAUCUCAGCCCUUCUCAGACGGUUGGAAGCUUGCAUAUCUGAGCUGAUGUGUCUAAUUAGAUACAGCAGUGAUUCAGCCGUCAGCUGCGGGUCUGCGGUUUUGCUUCCAGUGUGCAUCAGCGUGCUUCGCAUCACCCUGUGACUGAGGUGUUUACUCUUCAUCACAGUCGCUGUUAUCUGUCAGAAGUGAUACCGGAGUGGUUUCCAAAGAAAAGCGUUCCUUCAUUUAUUUACUUGGAAGUACUUUCAUCGGCAGGCGCAAGGUUUCUUGGACUGAAUGCUAUUCUCAUGGAAGGUUGGCUUCUAUUUUCUCUCAGGUGCAACUACAGUUUCCUAAGGCAAUGAACUGAAAAAGAAUCAGCAACAUCUGGAGUUAUCAGCACUUCUGCCAAACAAAAUGAACACAUCUGAAGAGGGCAGUUUCUCAGAAUGAAAAGAGAUGUGAUGACUAACAAGGAAAUGCAAUUUACCAAAAAUAUCUCAUUUAAUCUUUUCUUAAAUAUAUCGGCCUUGCAAGUCUCCUCUAUCCCCUAAAAGCCCUACUCACAUUAUGCAGAAAAUCUGUUGAGAAAAUACUUGUUUGGCAGUUUAGUUAGCUAUUGGGAGGUGAAUGCAUGUUUACAGAUUGCUUGAUAGCAUCUGAUAAACCGUAGAUUCACAUUCUCAGUUAACAGCGCUCAACUUUAUUUUCAUCAACAGAAAGAAACAGGCAAGGGAGGAGUCAUCUCACUCCUAAACAGACACUAAAUAGCUCAGCUGAACUGCUGAGCAUUUCCUUAAAAGCAGUGGUUUCUCUCCUUUGACUCAAAAGCAUAGUUUAGGAGGGGACCAUCAUCCACGUACAAGAGAAGUUAUUUUCUUUCCCUAAAACAACUUUUCUUUGAGGUCCUAAAUGAAGAGGUGCUGUGGCCAUUAGCAUUUACUAAUAUGUCAGUUAGGUAUAUUCAGCUUAACUUUCCUGUCCCUUCUUCCAAGACCUUACUCUUAUUCUUCUUUCCCACACUGCCUCUUCUUGUCCCCACUAAAAUCCCAUUCUCUAGGAUUCCCUCCCAAAAAUCAUUCAUUUUUUGUUGGCUACAUUGUUUUUUGACUUCAGGUGCUAACAGCUCUAGCAAACACAGUUACUGGAACCAUUCGAGUGCACACCUUCCUUAAACAGAAAUUAAAGGAUAUUAUCAUUUACAAAUCGUCCUGUCCUAAGUUUCAUUAUCAUCUCAGUGAAUACGGACUAGACUCACCCCUCCUAACCAUGAACACUUGGAUAAGAGACCUACAUUAGGUUUAUAGACACUGAAGUCACAGAGGCAACAGUCCCCUUCUCGGGGGCUUUCAUACCUUUCACAGUUUUAAUUCUCCCAUGAAGAUAUUCAUUUAUUUCACUAGUUACAUAAAAGAAGGCCUAAGUGGCAAUAUACCUUAUUUUGGGAUAUCCAUUAUGCGUCAAAGACAGAGUGAAGCUGAGUUUGUAUCUUUUCCUUUCAUAUAUACAUCUUAAAAUUAUCUGAAUACUUGGAAAUAAUAAGUACAGACAACGAUAGAGGAUGUAAUUUUUAUUUGCUUCAGGGCAAUCUCCUCUGAGGCCUCCUCUUGCAUCAAGUUUGUUACUCUUCAGGCUCUAUUGAUGUUAAGGGGAGUGCAGCACUUGACAACAUCAGGCCUGUUGCCAGUACUGAUGACCCUCACCAAUUUCAACACAAAGAAGGAAAAAUACAUAUAUAUGAUAAUGAUUUUGAAAAGAAAAAUAAAACUAGGCUUUAUUCAAUUAAUAAAAGCCUCCAGUAUCACACUUCUGUUAAUUGUUGACAAAAAUCAAGGGAUGUUGCAAAUCUGGAUAUUUGCACUGGAGUGCUAUUUUCUUUUCUUUGUUGCUGUUUUUCCUCCUCAAAAGUAAUGAAACCAUGGCACAUUCCUUUCCUGUCCUUUAGUAUAAUAAAAAAAAAGGGGACAGUCCAGCAUGAAAGUAUGAGCAGUGUCAGGAGUUACCCCUCUCCUGGUGGCUGCAGGAUGACGGAUGCUAAGACCAGGGCAGGUUAUCCUCCAAGGCAGAAGGGAUUCAUAGUGCAAUAGCUGGUCUUGAGAUGGCUUCCACAGGGAAUAAGCCUGGCACCACCUGCUUAAGAGAGCAACAGAAAGCAACAUCAGUAGUCAAGCCAUCUUGGAGAAAAUUUCUAGUUGGAAGACAAACCGUUAACCGUUUUCCCUUUCAUAUUUUUGUCA
ensembl:lncRNA